rnacentral:rRNA from 1 species
GGACUACCCGGGUAUCUAAUCCCGUUCGCUCCCCUGGCUUUCGCCCCUGAGCGUCAGGUACUUGCCAGAAUGCUGCCUUCGCCUUCGGUGUUCUUCCGGAUAUCUACGCAUUUCACCACUCCACCCGGAGUUCCGCAUUCCUCUCAAGCCCUCAAGUCUCCCAGUUUCCAUCGACCUUGCGCAGUGAAGCCGCGCGCUGUCACGACAGACUUGGAAGACCGCCUGCGGGCGCUUUACGCCCAGUAACUCCGGACAACGCUCGCCUCCUACGUAUUACCGCGGCUGCUGGCAC